UACGUAGGGGGCUAGCGUUGUCCGGAAUCAUUGGGCGUAAAGCGCGCGUAGGCGGCCCGGUAAGUCCGCUGUAAAAGUCAAAGGCUCAACCUUUGAAUGUCAGUGGAUACUGCCGGGCUAGAGUCCGGAAGAGGCGAGUGGAACUCCUGGUGUAGCGGUGGAAUGCGCAGAUAUCAGGAAGAACACCGACGGCGAAGGCAGCUCGCUGGGACGGUACUGACGCCGAGGCGCGAAAGCGUGGGGAGCGAACAGG
rnacentral:rRNA from 1 species